rnacentral:lncRNA from 1 species
AAAUAUUCAGCUUAUUACAAUCAGGCAAUGCCUAUUAAAAAUAUGUAGAAGCAUCAGAAAACAAUCCAAGCAUUUAUAACAAACAUGAACUGAAAUGACAAGCACAAGUAGCCUGAGACUUACAAACCGUACCAGACUCUGUGUGGAGAAACAUGACAACAAUUAAGAGUGAGGAGAACAAUAAUGUACAUAUAAAGAGUGAGGAGCGUAAUAAUAAUAGUUUUUACAUAAAAGCCUCUCUCACUUUCUAGUCUUCUAUAUAUGUUCCCAGACCAACCCAAUUUGUCACAUACAAACUCCAUAGGGAAGCAAAGAAUACAACUGUAAUCAGAACUCUAAACUAAAUGUACCACUCCAAAGACCAUUUAGAGGCAUGUGAACUUCAUCAUCAACCAUUGUAGAGGCAUGUGAACACACUUGAG